UCAAACUUGGUCAUUUAGAGGAAGUAAAAGUCGUAACAAGGUUUCCGUAGGUGAACCUGCGGAAGGAUCAUUACAGGGUUAUGCCAGGAUAGUGAAAAACCUAUCCAGGCAGCCAUGAUCAUCCCCUUUGUGCAUUAUAUUGAUAAACCGAGGGUUUCUUUUUUGCCAGACCUCAAAAAUCUGUCAUUAAUGCCCUCUAAUAAACUCUUUUUUUACAAUUUGACUGAGUGAUUUGUUAUUUUGUAAUAAAAUACAACUUUCAACAACGGAUCUCUUGGCUCUCGCAUCGAUGAAGAACGCAGC
rnacentral:misc_RNA from 1 species